CGCCGCGUAAUUCCAGCUCCAAUAGCGUAUAUUAAAGUUGUUGCAGUUAAAAAGCUCGUAGUUGAAUUUCGGAAUCAAUAUGUUGGUCGUGCCUUGGUACGUACUGGCAUUAUUGGUUUCUACCUUCUGAAGAACCUCGAUGUCAUUAAUUUGGUGUCUUGGGGAAUCAGGACUGUUACUUUGAAAAAAUUAGAGUGUUUAAAGCAAGCUCACGCUUGAAUACAUUAGCAUGGAAUAAUGAAAUAGGACGUUUGAUUCUAUUUUGUUGGUUUCUAGGAUCGACGUAAUGAUUAAUAGGGAUAGUUGGGGGCAUUAGUAUUCAAUUGUCAGAGGUGAAAUUCUUGGAUUUAUUGAAGACUAACUACUGCGAAAGCAUUUGCCAAGGAUGUUUUCAUUAAUCAAGAACGAAAGUUAGGGGAUCGAAGACGAUCAGAUACCGUCGUAGUCUUAACCAUAAACUAUGCCGACUAGGGAUCGGAUGAUGUUAAUUUUUUAAUGACUCAUUCGGCGCCUUACG
rnacentral:misc_RNA from 1 species